rnacentral:rRNA from 1 species
GACGAACGCUGGCGGCGUGCUUAACACAUGCAAGUCGAACGGAAAGGCCCUGCUUUUGUGGGGUGCUCGAGUGGCGAACGGGUGAGUAACACGUGAGUAACCUGCCCUUGACUUUGGGAUAACUUCAGGAAACUGGGGCUAAUACCGGAUAGGAGCUCCUGCUGCAUGGUGGGGGUUGGAAAGUUUCGGCGGUUGGGGAUGGACUCGCGGCUUAUCAGCUUGUUGGUGGGGUAGUGGCUUACCAAGGUUUUGACGGGUAGCCGGCCUGAGAGGGUGACCGGCCACAUUGGGACUAAGAUACGGACCAGACUCCUACGGGAGGCAGCAGUGGGGAAUAUUGCACAAUGGGCGGAAGCCUGAUGCAGCAACGCCGCGUGCGGGAUGACGGCCUUCGGGUUGUAAACCGCUUUCGCCUGUGACGAAGCGUGAGUGACGGUAAUGGGUAAAGAAGCACCGGCUAACUACGUG